AUCAUUUUGUACUGAUUACUUUUAUCCAGAUCUGCUGACACAGCAGGAGUCUUUACUGGAAUAAUUUCUAACAUGGUUUAAAAAAAGCCAUUAAUGUCCACCCUUAAGACCCACAAAACCCUAAGGCCUCACACAGAGCUAUUGCUAUUUAUAAUGUAUUUCUUUAUCCAAAUUGAGAAUAAAAGAAGCCCUGAAAUUUUGAAUCCAUUUCUGCUUCUCCCAAGUCUUAGAACCAAGCCACCAAAAGGGCCAUUAGCUCAAAUAUAAGAAAUCUUGGAAGAAAUAAAAGUUAAUAUGCAUUAAAAAUGUGAAAAAUAAUAUUGUCUCACACUAAAAAAACCCUUUGUGUGCUUUAAAACUUUUUAAGCCCCCCAAAAAAUCUCAAAAUAUAACCCUAGAUGUUUCCUAUGCCAAAUAUCAUUUAACACUUCCUGGGCUGAGGAAAUUCUUAGAAAAUUGUGUUCCUCUUUUAACUUUUGUUAUGAUGUAGUCAGUUAUAAUAUAAAACAUUGUACAGAUGCAACAGUGGAGUAAGCUGAGACAAGAUAAGGCCCCUGUAAAAACUUCAUCUUUUGUCUUCAUUUACAAAUACCUGAAAAUCCUAAAUUGAGAACAACUCUACAAUACCAAUGGUAUUGACUGAUUCAAUUGGGUCUUAAAAUCCAUUCCCUGACAAAGGUUCAAGAAGAAAGUUCUCUGUUAUAUGGAUCUUGACAGGUGGCUGGUCCCAAGAAAUGGAAGUCAGAGCCUACCAUAUGCCUUCUCUGCAUUGCUCCAGGAAGAACUAUUUCCCUUGAGGAGACAAUCAGAUUCACUAGGGCAGUGCUGGUACCUCAGAAGUUUCCAGUGGAAAACACUGAAUGUGGGAGAAGUUCAUUUUUUCUGUCCUUUCCGCAAUAUAGGCACCAUACAGAAUUCUGUAAAGGACAUCCUAAAUAACCUUCUCAGGGUCCAGAGUCAAAACCAGUUGUGAGGGAUGAUGUCUAAUCUAAAAAAUGGAAAAAUUUUUGUGCUAAAAGCAUUGUGAUGCUCUUGUGCAAAAUAACCUGAGUUUAAAACUCAAUCAGAAACCCUUUGACACCAGUGUUUAAUGCCUUGAAUUUAGAGUGUGGAGUUCUGGAGUCUCACAUCUUGCCCUCAAGAUUAUUUCCUGUUUGAAUUCAAUAUCUAUUGAAUGCAAAACAUGGUAGCCUGUGGGUACAUUCAAAGGGUUUGCCUGUGUUGAAAAGGAGGAAAGAUUCAAAUGGCAAGAGGAGAAUGGAUGUGAAAGAAUGAAUUGCUGACUAGGGUAGCUUUCCAAGAGAGAAAAUCUUUACAAAGAAUACAAGUUAGUUCUCAACAGUUUCUGGGUAAAUAUUGCGGCUACUGGGCUAAUAUAAUGACAGAUACUGCUGCAGCUCAGUUUUUAUAAAGAAAAAAGUUACAAAUGUAUUUUGGCAGCUUUUGUCCUUCUGAGUAUGUCUCCUGACUAUUCUCAGAAGACGAUUUCCAGACUGGGUGUCUGAGUCUUAGGCACUGCUGUGCAUAUUUUCUGGAUCCUGACAGAGCUCGUGCUUUGGACGGUGAGGAAAAGAAGACAGACAGAAUUACAUCUGUUUGGGGGGAAAAAAGCAAAAAAAAAAAAAGCAAAAAAAAAAAGAAAAGCCAUAUUUGUGUAAAGAAUGGAGUUACCAUAAAAAUAUCCUCAGGUUGUUUUUUUUAUUUGCACUUUUCUUUUUAAUUGUGCAUGACUAUUCCUAAAUUCUACAGCUAAUUUAGUUCUAAAAUUAGCUUAAACAGCCAGAGAAUUCAUUUUCUAAGUAUAUAAUGAAUGUAAAAAAAAAUUAUCAAUCCUGCAGGAAUGUAAACUUUCUGAUUCCAUUUGUUCUGUAGAUAGAAAGAUGCAGAGAGGCAGCAACUUAAACAUGUCAGCAUCUACAAUUUAAUAAUCUUUGGGUUUGUGGGGUUUUUUGUGGGGGAGAUAAGAUGUUGGGAUUGAGAUAAUUGAUAAAAAUGAUAUAAAUAAAUAUCAGGAAAAGCAUUUACA
rnacentral:lncRNA from 1 species